rnacentral:rRNA from 1 species
GAUGAACGCUGGCGGCGUGCCUAAUACAUGCAAGUCGAGCGAACAGACGAGGAGCUUGCUCCUCUGACGUUAGCGGCGGACGGGUGAGUAACACGUGGAUAACCUACCUAUAAGACUGGGAUAACUUCGGGAAACCGGAGCUAAUACCGGAUAAUAUAUUGAACCGCAUGGUUCAAUAGUGAAAGACGGUUUUGCUGUAACUUAUAGAUGGAUCCGCGCCGCAUUAGCUAGUUGGUAAGGUAACGGCUUACCAAGGCAACGAUGCGUAGCCGACCUGAGAGGGUGAUCGGCCACACGGGAACGGAGACACGGUCCAGACUCCUAAGGGAGGCAGCAGUAGGGAAUCUUCCGCAAUGGGCGAAAGCCUGACGGAGCAACGCCGCGUGAGUGAUGAAGGUCUUCGGAUCGUAAAACUCGGUUAUUAGGGAAGAACAAAUGUGUAAGUAACUAUGCACGUCGUGACGGUACCUAAUCAGAAAGCCACGGCUAACUACGUG